rnacentral:rRNA from 1 species
AGCCCAGCGUGAAGGCCUUAUCACUCCGGUGUUAAGGCGGUGCCGUUAAUGACUUGUUUGUGCUUUGUUGAAGCUUCAUGAAUGCUUUUGAAUAAGCUUCAUUUCAGCCACAGAGGGUGCAAGCCCCUUGGUGUUGUGGAUGCAAAGGGACUUGUCAUGAUAGAGUCGGGUUGCUUGAGAGUGCAACCUAAAGUAGAUGGUAAGCUCCAUCUAAGGCUAAAUAUCGCUGUGAGACCGAUAGCAAACAAGUACCGUGAGGGAAAGUUGCAAAGAACUUUGAAGAGAGAGUUCAAUAGGACGUGAAACCGUUUGCAGGUAAACAGAUGGACCCACGAAGUCCAGUUGAGUAGGGAAUUCAAAUUUCUCGAAUGGCUCUCUACUGAUUGUAUUUUCCUGUAAAGGCAAGUCAGUUGGAUAGAGAACUGUCGAGAGAUGCAUUUUUCCUGCUCACGAUGGAGCUCUGACUGCUCUUUGACUUAAAUUGUGUAAGGCAGCUUUGGAUUGUGAGAUGUUUCUUAGGAAACAUUUCUACUUUCUAGAGUUCAUGAUGAAGUCAAACGAGCGGGUGAAUUACUCACUUCGGUGAGUGUUCAGGUUGUCGAUGUCUCUGCUUUAGUAGAGUGUGCUGGUCCUUGGAUAUUCGGCUCUUGCAGUUGAAACUCAAGGAAGCUGUGCA